UGGGUAACCUGCCUCUUGCUCUGGGAUAACUCCGGGAAACCGGGGCCAAUACCGGAUAUUCAUUUCUGACCGCAUGGUUGGUUGUGGAAAGUUUUUCGGCGAGAGAUGGGCCCGCGGCCUAUCAGCUUGUUGGUGGGGUGAUGGCCUACCAAGGCGACGACGGGUAGCCGGCCUGGGAGGGCGACCGGCCACACUGGGACUGAGACACGGCCCAGACUCCUACGGGAGGCA
rnacentral:rRNA from 1 species